UCCAGGCCUUGAGGUGUGCCCAUCAGGGCAGUGCAUGUGAUGGUAACUUCUUGUGGGUGUUUGGUUGUAGUUGUGGACACAGAGAGUGCUCUUUCAGGCCCUGAGCGAGGGGCAGAUACCGUGCUGACUCCGAGCUGGUACCUCAAGCGUGAGUAGUCAGUCUGUCCUGCCUUCACAAAAAGGAGCGCCCCUUUUCCCUAUUUUAUUAACGAGAAAAUACCCUCAUAGGUUAAUGUGCUUUUGUAAAUCUAACAGUAGGGAUGAACGAUGACAAGGUUCCUGAAGAGUUCCCUGAAGGAUUGCCGGAUGUUCCAGAGGAGCUCCUGGCAGCCUUGGAUAAAGCCCCAUCUGAGACAGAUUCUGAGACUGUGCCGGAGACCUUAGCUGUGGAAGAAAGUGACAGUGUGCCAGGCUGACAUGAAAAAAGAGAAGCAAUAGAGGACACCAGCACACUUGCUGAGCCUGAGCAAUAUUCAGGGUCAUCCGGUGGGCAAAAAGCUGAGACUGCUGGACACCGUGACCCCGGCAAGUACUACAUCCUAGUAGGGACAGUAGCAGCCUCAGCUUUGCUUCUGCUUGGGGCAGUGUCUGUGUAUCUAGUCUUGCAUCAGCUGCUGAAGAGAGAGAGGAGGAGCCAGGAGGACAAAGAGGCAAGAGGACAGGACUGGGACUCUUCCUGGGAAAGCUGUGGUCAGCCUAGAGGUGAAGCAGAGUCAGGAGAAGGAGCGGCAAGCGGCGAGAGAGCCCAAGGCAAGGGCUUCAGGGACAGCUGCCGCCUGUUUCCUGAGCUCUUUGCAGCAGAGUUCGCCUCGCCCAGCUCUACAAGAACAUGGGCGCAGACCCGUCACCUCUGCCCACCUGCUCCUUCUGUGCUCUGGCUGACAACGCCUCUUCACGGGACCACUGGAUUUCCCUGGAGUCACCUCAGCCCACAGCAUCCUCUUGCCCCUCCUACCAAUACCAGCAGGACUAUUAUCUGUUAGAGGAGGAUGAUUAGUGAUAGUGAGAGAUGAUUAGUGAUAGUGAUAGUGAUAGUGAUAAAUAGUGAUAGUGCUAGUGAUUCUUUUAGGGAUAGUGGUAGGGAUACCUGAUAUUAGAGGGUGGUGGUUGUUUUAAUGAUAGUGAUAUUUAAUAGUAGAGGAUAGUGAUUGUUUUAAUGAUAGCGUUAUUUGAUAUUAGAGGACAGCGAUUGUAUUAGCGAUAGUGAUAGUUAAUAUUAGAGGAUGGUGAUUGUUUUAGUGAUAGUGGUACAUUUAGUGAUCGUGAUACUUGGUAUUAGCAGAUAAUGAUUGUUUUCUUGAUAUUGAUAAAUAAAUAUGUUUCCAAAAGCAGUAAA